AACAAAAAAGCUUUGCUAUUGAUGUAGUUCGCGACAAGCAACUGAUUCGUUGUUCCACUAUAAUGAAGUGUCAUAGGAAAAUCAAGACCAUCACUUACGGUCAAUAGUUCUCUAUGUCUUUUUCCAUCAGAGGAGAUAACUACAACGUUGUUCGAUAUGUGCCCCACCACGAACACAUUACCAUCAUUAUCUACAUCAAUGCCAUGAGGAGUAUUAAGAACGCUUUCGUUAUGGAAUGUCCAUUGUAGUUUACCUUGUAGGUUAUAACAUGUCACAGUGUUUUUUUGAUUGUUUGUAUGAUAUAUAUUGUCCCUAAAAGUUGCAGUGUAGCAAACACUGGUCAUUGCUUCUCGGACUAAGUCACUUAUAGACUCAUCGUUUAAAUCGAUCAUUCGUAUACCUUUGUCUCUCCCUGAAUAAAUCAACUGAUUUUCUUUCAGUGAUAUGCCAUAAAUGUCCGAAUCCACUGCAAUUGAUUUCAUCAUUUGUUUUGUCUCCAGGUUUAUUAUGGUAAUGGUACGUGGACUAUAUAGAUGAUACAGCCAAUGUAUUGUCUUCUCUAAUGUAUACUAUAUCAAACGCGUAACUCGGCAUCUUGAUCUCAAAGUCUGUUGAUCCUUUAUCACUGAAAACUUUUAAUUGUUUGGCAAAGUAGUAAGUAAAUACCAAUCUAUCAUCUGGAAGUAUGCAACAUCCGUGAACGUAGCACUUCCUUGAGUGUCGAUGGACUUGUGUAUCGUUAGCUUUAUAUUUUCUAUAGAUUUUGUUGGAACGAUUGGAAUCAUCAAUUGGGCUUGUCUGGCCUUCUUCUUGAUCAGAACUAUGUCGCAUGGAUUAGAUUCAAUACGCACUUCCCCAAAACUUCUGAUAUCGGAUAUGAUAUUCUGGAUAGAGGUGUUGAUCUGAUAUGAAAGAGUAUGCUGUUCCUUGCCUUUCUACAAGAGCCUGCAAUUCUUUUUCUUUGCUAUAGACGUCCUCUUCUAUUUGCUUAAUUGAGAGAAACAUUUGAAGAUCUGUUGCGUGUUUCUUGAUGUUCAAUAGGCUAUUUUGGCAUUCUCCUAUUUCUUUUCUUUCUUUUUUAGCGAGGACAUUAACUGACAUAUUUUAGAGUUUUCUUUUUCUUCGAGCUCGUUGAGUUGUUUCAUUAAAUCUUCUUGUAGUUUGUCGAGGUGGUUAUUGAUCUUCAUUCUAGUUUUCUUUACUUCUUUUUGGAUUUCCUUUCUCUUUUCUUUCAAAGUCACCUGAUUGCUCUGUUGAUGCUGACGAAUUGUCUUUAGAUUUUCUGCUACUUCAACUAAUGUUUCCUCUAUCUCGCUCAG
rnacentral:lncRNA from 1 species